GCCGCCUUGCAGUUUGAUCUCAGACUGCUGUGCUAGCAAUCAGCGAGACUCCGUGGGGUAGGACCCUCUGAGCCAGGUGUGGGAUAUAAUCUCGUGGUGCGCCGUUUUUUAAGCCCGUCAGAAAAGCGCAGUAUUCGGGUGGGAGUGACCCGAGUUUCCAGGUGCUGUCCAUCACCCCUUUCUUUGAUUAAGAAAGGGAACUCCCUGACCCCUUGCGCUUCCCGAGUGAGGCAAUGCCUCGCCCUGCUUCGGCUCGCACACGGUGCGCGCACCCACUGACCUGCGCUCACUGACUGGCACUCCCUAGUGAGAUGAACCCGGUACCUCAGAUGGAAAUGCAGAAAUCACCCGUCUUCUGCGUCCUUCAGGCUGGGAGCUGUAGACCUGAGCCGUUCCUAUUCGGCCAUCUUGGCUCCUCAAAUCUAUAUUCAAAAGUCUCACUCAUUUUGCUGCUCAGCAGAAGGAUUGUAAAAAUGAAAAAUAAAAAAAAGGCUUUUACAUCAAAUAUUGAUAACGAUAAUAAUGAUUAACACAUGUGGAGCACUUACCAUCUCUCAAGCACUGCUCUAGAGCUUUCCAUGAAAGAAUCCCUCUAAUCUUCAGAACAAUCCUGUGAGGAGCUGCUGCCAAAUCAACACCUCGAUAUGUUUGUUCUUGGAGAGAAAUGAGCUAAGGAGGAAGACCGUCUAAAAAUACCACUGGACAAUUUGUACUCACUGGAGUGGUCUCUAUGGGGCAAAAGGUUUUUAGAGUGGCUCGUGGAUUUUCUGGCAAGUGGCAAACCAUACAAGAGCUACGUCAGGCCAGGAAGACAGGUACAGCCCUGUCGGUGUCAAAGAAGAACACCGGUAGCAGAAGAGCUAAGAGUGAAUGAAAAUGGAAUUAUCUUUACUUCUAGGACUUGUCUAUUGAGAAACAGCAGCGCUGGCAACCAUUUACUACCAACAAGAGGCAGUUGCAAGAGAAGAAUAUAAAAUAUGCUCUGCUCAACCCCACAAAACUCAGAGUGUCUCACAAUGGCCAAUUUAUUAUUUUUACCCUGUCCAGUGACAUGGAAGGAUGCAUCAGGGAGCUGCUAGCCUCUGCGAUGAAUAACUUAAGUCAGGCUGCAACAUGUGAAAUAAUUCAGCUGACCAGGAUUUAUAACACUAGCUAGAUUUUUUGCUUUCUUUGGGGUUCAUGAAGCAUGGUGUUGUGAGAUACCACAGGAGUCCCGGAGUAAAGUUACAUACCUAUUGCUCUUCCUUAUUUUUAUUUUUUGGUAUUUUCAUAUUAUUUUAUUGCCUAGUCCAAAUGUCUUCCUAAGCAGGGUCCAGCCUCCUAGGGGACACGUCUCUUCUGACUUUGAAAAUUAGAACCACAGACAGAUAAGACUUCUAAAUACUCUGUUUUUAUACCCUCUUCUUCACAUACCUAGUCCCAGGUGGUUUUGACUCCCUGAUGCUGUGUUGAUUGUGUUGGCCUUCAAUUUAUUUUGCUCAAUUAUUUAUGUGCAUCUGCCCAAAUAAGAGGUGUGGCAAUGCAGUGGCAUGCUUACAAUUCAGCCCAUCUCACUCCCUGGUUCAUAUGUCAGUUUGCAGGAUGGCUUGCUAGAUUUGCAAAGGGGUGUGGGGGACAGUUUCCAUCUGCUGCCAUUGCAAAACACAUCUUUCAGGGGCUACCUGGCAGGGCUGUUUUCUUUCCAGGUAAGGUUCAGGGACAUUUCCAUGCACUGAGUAGAGUCUGGAUCUUUGUUUUCCAGGUGCCUCAGAAGACUAGGACAUGGGGCAAUUGCAAAUCCUGGUCUUUGUACAUUACAUAGAACUUAGGGUAGGAAGGGACUUCAGAAGAUCAUCAGGUCAAAUUUCCCACUUCCUUGGAAUUCUCAUUUUUUAGAGGACCAAUGGUUGGCAACAUCCCUUUUUUGUGUUGUCAUUUGGAAAUUGUGUUAAAAGCCAUUCUUUCACAGUUGCUCUGUGGUCCUUCCAAUUUUCACUUUAACUGGGAAAUUUUAAUGAGAUCCUUCAAGCAAUUAAAAGAGUAGAAAAAAUACUCACAGAAGC